rnacentral:lncRNA from 1 species
CAUCUUGCUACUAUAAAAAUGAUGGUGGCUGAAAAUCAUGGUGGCUACUAAAUGAUGAAGUAGAAAAAAAAUAAAACAGCCUUCUAAACUCGACUCUUUUUCAAGCAAUAAUUUCUUUCAAAUUCUUGCCAAGUCUGAUUCGCACCACAUCAUGCUUCUACGCACGUGAGCAAGGUCAUCAAUUUAACUCUUGGAUCCAUGUAUGGCAUCUGAUCAUCUCUUUCUUCAUGAUGGUGCNNNNNNNNNNNNNNNNNNNNGUAGCGGAUACAUUGUAGUCACCAGGCAAUUCAAUCUUGUAAGCAUUAUCAUUCACUUUCUCAACAACUCGGAAUGGACCAUCAGUACGCGGCAUGAGCUUAGAUUUUUUUUGGUUUGAAAAUCGUUCCUUGCGAAAAUGUAUCCAAACAAGAUCACCGGGGACAAAACGAACUUGUUUUCUUCAUUUGUUAGCUAUCUUCUCAUAAGCCGCAUUCUUCUUCUCAAUCUGCUCCUUGAUGCUCUUAUGCAUGGACUUAACCAACUCAGCUUUCUUCUUCCCAUCCAUACAAACCCUUUCACUGAUUGGAAGUGGUGCUAAAUCAAGUGGGGUGAUAGAAUUGAACCCAUAAACCACCUCAAAAGGAAAAUGCUUAGUAGCGCUAUGAACACUACGAUUGUAAGAAAACUCAACAUAAGCUAAACACUCAUCCCAAUUCUUCAGAUUCUUGUUAACAACAGUGCAAAACAAAGAAGAGAGGGUACAGUUUACCACUUCAGUCUGACCAUCGGUUUGCGAAUGACAAAUCGUACUGAAGAGCAAUCUAGUACCAAGCUUCUUCCACAAGGUCUUCCAAAAGUAACUCAAAAAUUUGACAUCUCGAUCAAACACAAUGCUCUUUGGUACACCAUGCAUCACACUAUCUCCUUGAAAAAUAAAUCUGCAACAUGUAAAGCAUCAUCGGUUCUGUGGUAUGGCACGAAAUGAGAUAUUUUUGAGAAUCAGUCCACAACCACCAUAACCGAAUCCUUCCCCCUUUAUGUUCUUGGCAGUCCAAGCACAAAGUCCAUACUCAAAUCUAUCCAUGGUUGAUCUGGUACAGAUAGCGGCAUAUACAACUCUUGUGAAGUCUUUUUGCUCUUCACCUUCUUGCAGGUGACGCACCUCUCAAUGACGUGAUGUACAUCACGAAUCAUGGCUGGCCAAUAGAAGUGCUCUUUCACUAUCUCCAAUGUUUUCUCUCCAAAAUGACCCGCCAAUCCGCCACCAUGAGCUUCUCUUACCACAAGCUCUCGAAUGAAACCGUUAGGAAUGCACAGCCGGCCUAACUUAAACAAGUAUCUGUCAUGCUUGUAGUAGCCAUUUACAGCUCCUUUCUUGCACUCAUAAAUGCUUGCAAAAUUUGGAUCGCCCUUGUAUUGACCUAUAAUCAGCUCAAAUCUCAUUAGUUUAGCAUUAAGCAAUGAAAUCAAAGCACACCUCCUGAAAAGUGCAUCAGCCAUGAUAUUGACAUUUUCUUUUUUGUAUUUGAUCAUAUAAGGAAAGAUUUCCAAAAACUCCACCCACUUGGCAUGUCUACAAUUUAGCUUGCUUUGUCCUUUCAAGUACUUCAAGGACUCAUGAUCAGUAUGGAUGACGAACUCCCUUGGCAAUAAAUAAUGUUGCCAAGUCUCCAAAGUCCGAAUCAGAGCGUAAAACUCCUUGUCAUAAAUAGAGUAGCUUAAGCUCGCACCAUUCAGCUUCUUACUGAAAUAUGCUAUGGGACGCCCUUCUUGCAUCAGAACAGCCCUAAUGCCCACAUCGGAGGCAUCACAUUCUACCUUAAAAGUCUUGAAAAAGUCGGAUAGAGCUAGAAUGGGUGCUAAACUCAACUUCUCCUUGAUCAACUCGAAGCUCCUUUGGGCUACUUCAGUCCACUUAAAUUCUCCUCCCUUCUUGAUGCAUUCAGUGAUAGGAGCAAGAAUAGUGCUGAAGUUCUUCACAAACCUCCGAUAAAAGGAUGUUAGGCCAUGAAAACUCCACACUUCAGAUACAUUAGUAGGAACAGACCACUCCUUGAUCGCUUUCACCUUUUCCUCAUCAACUUCCACUCCAUGUUAUGACACAACAUAACCAAGAAAGACUAUGCGAUCCUGACAAAAAUGAUACUUUUUGAGGUUGCCACAUAGCUUCUCUUGUCGUAGAACCUCAAAAACCCCCCUAAGGUGUUCCAUAUGCUCUUCCUGAUUCCUGCUAAAAACCAAAAUAUCAUCAAAAUACACAACAACAAAAUCAUCAAUAAACUUAUGCAACACAUGAUUCAUCAAUCUCAUGAAUGUGCUGGGCACGUUGGACAAGCCAAAUGGCAUGACCGUCCACUUGUACAAUCCGAACUUGAUCUUGAAUGCGAUCUUCCAUUCAUCACCUUUCUUCAUGCGAAUCUGAUGGUAUCCGCUCCUAAGGUCUAUUUUUGAGAAGACCUUAGCUCCAUGCAACUCAUCAAGCAUAUCAUUCAGUCGCGGGAUUGGAUAGCGNNNNNNNNNNNNNNNNNNNNAUAUUUUACUGUGAUCUUGUUUAUCGGCCUACUAUCCACACAUAUCCGCAUAGAUCCAUCCUUCUUCAAUACCAACAGAGCUGGUACUGAACAUGGGCUCAUAGACUCCCUCACACAACCCUUCUCCAAAAGAUCUGCAACUUGUCGUUGCAACUCUUUGGCCUCCUCGGGAUUGCAUCUAUAGGCUGGUCUAUUUGGCAAGGCAAACCCUGAAAUGAGAUCAAUCUAAUGCUCGAUCCUUCUGAUUGACGACAAUCUUUUUGGUAAAUCUUUUUGGUAAAUUUCUCCAAAAUCUUCUUCAUUUGCGACGGAAGGGAGACUUCUUCAUCUGACACCUGCUUGGUUACAAGAAUAAAAAUAAUUUCAUGGUUAGUCAAAACUCGCUUCACUUUCUCUUUGUUGGCAAACAGAUUCUCUUUCUUGCCCUUCUCAAUCACAAGCUGAUUCUUCUGGACCUGUUGCGGGCUAAGUGAUGCCAACAUUAUGUUCUUUCCGUUCUUAGCAAAUGAAUAGGUGUUUUUGAAGCCGUCAUGAAUAGCCGUCCGAUCGUACUGCCAAGGUCUUCCCAAAAGAAGAUGACUGACUUUCAUAGGAACCACAUCACAAACAAUCUCAUUCUUGUAGGACUUGCCAAUAGAGAAAGAUACUACAACCUGCUUUGUAACCUUCACAUCACCAUCGUCAGUAAGCCAUUGCAAUCUAUAGGGACGGAGAUGCUUAAUGGUCACCAGAUUAAGUUUUUCCAUCAAAAUAGUGAAAGCCACAUUAGUACAGCUACCCCCAUCAAUGAUAACACCACAUACCUUAUCAUGGAUGGUGCACCUGGUAUGGAAGAUGUUUUCGUGCUGCUCAUCAUCCACUUUGGCCUGUAAGUUCAGGUUACGGAAAAUAACCAACAUCUCUCCUUCAUCUGCAAACUCUACAUAAUCUUCUUCCACCUCUUCCAAAAUAGCCUCAUCUUCACUUUUAAUUUUCUCUUGUGACUCCCGAAUGAAUAUCACCCUCUUGUUUGGACAUUCAGAGGCUAUAUGACCGUGACCAAGAUACUUGAAACACUUGAUAUCUCGACUUCACCUGGGAGGUUGCGAAUUCUCCAUCUUCUCUUUUCCUUUGGCUGCAUCUGUGGUUUGCUUGCUGGAAUCACCCUUUUCUACUUGUUUUGAAACCACCUUAAAGACAGACCAUGGUGAUAAGAAAGACUAGUUGGUGGUCUUACUCGACUUAUUUGCACCACGCUUGCACUGUCUCUCCACCUUAACAAUAAAUUUGAUCACAUCGUCAAGAAACACAUAAGAUUGCAACUCCACCGUAUCAGCAAUCUCUUUGUUCAAGCCUCCUAAGAAUCUUACAAUGGUCUGUUCUUGAGGUUUUCGUAAAUCGCACCUCAUCAUCAGCAUCUCAAAUUCUUUGGCAUAAUCUUCAACACACAUGCCACCUUAUCUCAAGCUUUGUAACUUGAUGUACAGCUCCUACUUAUAAUAUUGAGGGACAAAUCGCUUCUCUAUGAUCCGCUUCAUAAGCCUCCAGCUCCGGAUCUCCUCUUCUCCAUCCCUCCAACACUGAGCUUUCACAUUCUCCCACCAAAGAUUAGCGUAAUCAGUGAAUUCAAGGGCAGCAAGUUUACAUUUUUUUACCUCAAAAUAGUCUUGACAUUCAAAAAUCUUCUCCACACAUUGUACCCAUUUCAGAUAUUCUUCGAGUGAGCUGGUUCCUUUAAAGGAUAGGAUCCUCAUUUUAAUAUUAUCUCCCGAACUUCUUUGCUACCGCCUUUGCCAUGGGUGUUCCUCCACACCAUCAUCAUCUUCGGAUUCGUCAUACUCCUCUUCAUCAUCGCGAUCAGCUCGUCGUGGUGUUGGAUGGCCAUGCCACUGUGGUGCUGGGGGAAGUGUUGCCAACCGCUCAAACGCUUGUGUUAGGCGAUUGAAUUGCUCCAUCAUCUCUUUUUGACGCCGCUGGAGUCCUAUAAUCUAAGCUUGUUCGAGACUCAUGCCUCUAAGAAUAACAUGGACCUCGUCUCUUCCAGACAUGAUUUGGAUGUCAAACACUCCCUCAGACUCUGAUACCAAACUGACGUGCCCAAGCCUGAAUAACUAUCUUGUGUAAAUAAAGAUAAAGGUUGGAGUGCAAGAAAUAAAAACAAAAAAAAGAAACCUUUGAAAUCUAAUUGAUAAGAAAAUCGCCACAAUCAGAUCACAAAGAGGUAGAACGCCACACUCAAGAAAAAAGGAGAAUGUAAGUGAUAAGUUCUAGGAAUUAUAACUCGCCACUAACACAUAGGGAUUAGAUAAGAGAAUUUAGCAACACUCAUUUUUAUUCAUUGAAGUCUGAAUUGAAUACAUAAAUCACCUCCCUUUAUAUAGAUAUGAGAGGGAACAUAAGGCAAAUUCAGUAAAUGAAAAGGAAUAACAGAAUUUUGCUACUAUGAAAAUGAUGGUGGCUGCAUCUUGCUAAUAUGAAAAUGAUGAUGGCUGCAUCUUGCUGCUAUGAAAAUGAUGGUGGCCGUAUUUUGCUACAAAGAAAAUGAUGGUGGCUGCAUCUUGCUAUUAUGAAAAUGAUGGUGGCUGUAUCUUGCUACUAUGAAAAUGAUGGUGGCUGAAAAUCAUGAUGACUACUAAAUGAUGAAGUAGAAAAAAAAUAAAACAACCUUCUAAACUCGAUUUCUUUUCAAGUAAUAAUUUCUUUCAAAUUCUUGCCAAGUCUAAUUCGCACCACAUCAUGCUUCUACGCAUGUGAGCAAGGUCAUCAAUUUGGCUCUUGGAUCCGC